GGAGGCAGCAGUGGGGAAUAUUGCACAAUGGGCGCAAGCCUGAUGCAGCAACGCCGCGUGAGGGAUGACGGCCUUCGGGUUGUAAACCUCUUUUAGCAGGGAAGAAGCGAAAGUGACGGUACCUGCAGAAAAAGCGCCGGCUAACUACGUGCCAGCAGCCGCGGUAAUACGUAGGGCGCAAGCGUUGUCCGGAAUUAUUGGGCGUAAAGAGCUCGUAGGCGGUCUGUCGCGUCUGCUGUGAAAUCCCGAGGCUCAACCUCGGGCUUGCAGUGGGUACGGGCAGACUAGAGUGCGGUAGGGGAGAAUGGAAUUCCUGGUGUAGCGGUGGAAUGCGCAGAUAUCAGGAGGAACACCGAUGGCGAAGGCAGUUCUCUGGGCCGUAACUGACGCUGAGGAGCGAAAGCGUGGGGAGCGAACAGGAUUAGAUACCCUGGUAGUCCACGCCGUAAACGUUGGGCGCUAGUUGUGGGGACCAUUCCACGGUCUCCGUGACGUAGCUAACGCAUUAAGCGCCCCGCCUGGGGAGUACGGCCGCAAGGCUAAAACUCAAA
rnacentral:rRNA from 1 species